UACGUAGGUGGCGAGCGUUAUCCGGAUUUAUUGGGUUUAAAGGGUGCGUAGGCGGCUUUUUAAGUCAGCGGUGAAAUUUUGCAGCUUAACUGUAACAGUGCCGUUGAUACUGGGGAGCUAGGAUUUGGUUGCUGUGGGUGGAAUGUGUGGUGUAGCGGUGAAAUGCUUAGAGAUCACACAGAAUAUCGAUUGCGAAGGCAGCUCACAAAGCCAAGAUUGACGCUGAGGCACGAAAGUGUGGGGAUCAAACAGGAUUAGA
rnacentral:rRNA from 1 species